GGGAAAUAGACACAUCAAACCUAAUAAAGGAAUAGAAUGAUUGUUACCACACAAUGCUCCCUGGUCUGGCAAAGGAACAAGUGGGAAAGGAGAAUUCAUUGCUGCCUGGUGACAUUAGGUGCCAUUGCCAAGGAGAAGGCAUUUGAGUUCAGCUUUUAGAGUUCUGAGGGAGUCAUUUAAAUAAGUGGGGGCCCUAAAGAACUGAAGACAUUCAAGACAAAAGUGUGACCACGAGCCAUGAUCUGGAAAUGCAGUCUGAGACACAGCUGGAGGUUUGAUUCAGUUCUAAUGUGACAGAUUUUGCCCACCCGAGGCUAAGAACCCAGCACACCCCUUCGUGAUGUUUUCCAAGCUGCCUCCAGCUCUCACUGCUUCUUCAAUGCUGUGUUCGCCUCCCUAUACGAACACGCAUGGCCAUACUGUCAUCUGAAUUAUAGGGCCUCAUCUUUCAGAAGGGCAAGAGCAUUGGGGUCGUCACUGCAACACCACGUGACAGACAAAAAAGUAGCACUGAAACAUAAAUUUAUGCCUGGAAGAAAACGAAGUCUCUUGACUCAACAAGGAGGCGUUGGCAAGCCCUGGAGUUGAAAGUGAGAGAUGUCUGCUGCUCUGGACUCCAGGAGACAGGAAGAAAAGAGCAAAAAUCAGCGGGGAGUUAUUUCAAAGUAGCACAUGCCAAGGUUGGUGCAUCCUGGGGCUAGGAGUCACAGGAACCGUCCCCUGCAGCCCGGUGAGCAAAAGCACACAGAUUUACUGGUCACCAGUUACGUGCGGGAAAUGACAACCAUCCCAUCCCACUCUGGGCAAGGACAGGAACUCCACCUUAGGGUGCACCUCUCCUUCGAAGAGGCGGCAGCAGCACACCAGUGGUGGGAUUGGGGGAGAGCACCCUGGCUGGGAGCUGAGCCACACUCAUGUAGCAGCAGCCUGGAGGAGAGCAGCUACAUAGCCAGAGCAGUCACAGAGGAGGUGAGUUACCCCGUCCAUAGGGGUGGGGUAUAACAGCUGCCGAACAAGCCACAGACCUUCUAGCUGGCAGGGAAACUGGGAAAGUCGGGCAUUUCUUGUUUCUUGUCUGUUUCAGAAGCAGCACGGUGCAAGGUCUGGCAGAGGAAAGCGGCUCACAUCAUGGUGGCCAGAAAAUGGAGAGAGAGAACAGAGGAACAAGGAGGGAAAUGCAGCCUCCCAGAGCAUGCCCACUAUGACCAGCCUGCCACCAGGCCCCACCUCUAACAGCAAGGCAUCUGUAGCACCCCAUAGUCCAGUCACAAUGGACUGAUUCAGUAUAGAAGGCUUUGGUGGGGGGCAUUCCAGAUGCAAACCACAACACUAUUGCCGUAAUUCCAGCUUAAAAUAGCGUACGAAUUCUGUGAUUCAAGUCAUGUUUAGAUGAAGGAGAUACUUCUAUGGACAGUUAUUUUAUUAUUAGAGGACAGGAAGACAUUUUCUUUUUUUUUUUUUUUGGUACUGGGGAAUUGAACUCGGGUCCUUGCUCUUGCAAGGCAGGCAGAGGUACCACUGAGCUAAACCCUGGCCCAGGAAGACAUUGUCACAGGAGCAUUGGCCUUGGGGUAAGAGGUUUACAGCCUUGAGUCUCAAUUACCACUGACUACCCAGGUAUCUUUGGAAAGCAAUUGACCUUAUGUGAAAGGUGCAUCAACAUACUUAUUUUCACUCUAGGUUUCAAUAUAAAAGAAACCAUGUAGGGCCGGGGAUUUAGCUCAGCGGUUCGGUGGCCUGCCUCACAAGCGCAAGGACCCGAGUUCAAUCCCGGUACUAAAAAGAAACAAAGAAACCAUGUGAUAGUUAAAUCCGUGUGUCUGAUUUAUUUCACUUAACAUUACAGUCUCAAGGUGCAUCUAUUUUUCUGCUUUACUAUGGAAAAACAAUUAGGCAAUCCUAUGACAGAAUAGUCUAUUCCUGUAGUUCCAAGGGCAGACGAUUUCAGGUAUCAUUUCCUCCAGCCAUUUUCCCCCAAAAGACAAUAUGAUCUUACAUAACCUUAUUGAAGCUAUUCUUUUGCCUCUGUUGUUAAUCUAUAUUUUCCUAUCGUGAAUACUUGAAAGUGGCUCUAACGGCAGAAUGUAUUUGUCUUCACGGA
ensembl:lincRNA